rnacentral:rRNA from 1 species
AUUGAACGCUGGCGGCAGGCCUAACACAUGCAAGUCGAGCGGAUGAAGGGAGCUUGCUCCUGGAUUCAGCGGCGGACGGGUGAGUAAUGCCUAGGAAUCUGCCUGGUAGUGGGGGAUAACGUCCGGAAACGGGCGCUAAUACCGCAUACGUCCUGAGGGAGAAAGUGGGGGAUCUUCGGACCUCACGCUAUCAGAUGAGCCUAGGUCGGAUUAGCUAGUUGGUGGGGUAAAGGCCUACCAAGGCGACGAUCCGUAACUGGUCUGAGAGGAUGAUCAGUCACCCUGGAACUGAGACACGGUCCAGACUACUACGGGAGGCAGCAGUGGGGAAUAUUGGACAAUGGGCGAAAGCAUGAUCCAGCCAUGCCGCGUGUGUGAAGAAGGUCUUCGGAUUGUAAAGCACUUUAAGUUGGGAGGAAGGGCAGUAAGUUAAUACCUUGCUGUUUUGACGUUACCAACAGAAUAAGCACCGGCUAACUUCGUG